ACGAUCGCGAUAGUUUGUCCAUUUCCAGGAUCCGUCCACAACCCCCGUUUCUUUGGGUUUUCCCGAUCUGUUGAUCUCUCUUUUAAACUAUGUGGUGGGUUAGGUAACCUGUUUGGCUUCAUUUUUUAUCUGUUUGAGGAGCCAGGCGCGCUUGUUUUGGGCUUGUUUCCAUAGAGCUGGUUUGCGUGUUUCUCUCGCGAGAUCUGGCAACACUGGGGAGUGACAACAGCUGGCAGUAUCAACAAAACCGGUUAAACCCGCAGGAAUAACCCGACGCGAAACAACAGCACACCAUGGAUCGAUACGACAACCUGGAUUUGGAUUUGGAGUGUGAAGGAGGAGGAGGAGGAGGAGUAGCUCAAAAAGCGGCGUUAUUCGGAGGGAUGUUCAAAAGAUCCUCCAAGAUCAUUGAACCAUCAGCCCCAGCUCCGGACAGUUUAUCAGUCAG